rnacentral:rRNA from 1 species
GACGAGCCGAGCGAACGUUGUUCGGAAUCACUGGGCUUAAAGGGCGCGUAGGCGGGCGAUCAAGUCGGUGGUGAAAUCCCACAGCUCAACUGUGGAACUGCCUCCGAUACUGGUUGUCUCGAGGAAGGUAGGGGCGUGUGGAACUGUUGGUGGAGCGGUGAAAUGCGUUGAUAUCAACAGGAACUCCGGUGGCGAAGGCGACACGCUGGACCUUAUCUGACGCUGAGGCGCGAAAGCCAGGGGAGCAAACGGG